rnacentral:rRNA from 1 species
UAAUAGCUCACUAGUCGAGAGGUCCUGCGCCGAAAAUGUCCGGGGCUAAAACACAACACCGAAGCUUAGGAAUUCUUUUGAAUUGGUAGAGGAGCAUUGAAGACGGAACGAAGCCAUACCGGAAGGAAUGGUGGACUGUCUUGAAGAGAGAAUGCCGGAAUGAGUAGCGAGAUUGAAGUGAGAAUCUUCAAGGCCGAAUAUCUAAGGUUUCCAGGGUAAAGCUGAUCUGCCCUGGGUAAGUCGGGGCCUAAGGCAAGGUCGAAAGACGUAGUCGAUGGAUAACAGGUUGAAAUUCCUGUACUGCAUCAAAUCAGAAAUGUGGGGACACAUGAGGGAAGCAUGAGCCGGAAAAGGAAAGUCCGGUACAAGCGCAGCAGAGGACAGAUAGGCAAAUCCGUCUGUCAACUCGAGGGCGUGAUGUGGAGCGAACCAAAGUAGCGAAGCAUGUGGAGCUUGUGUCGAGAAAAGCCGCUAUAGUGUUUGAUGUACCCGUACCGUAAACCGACACAGGUGGAUGAGGAGAGAAUCCUAAGGCCGGCGGGAGAAGCAUUGUUAAGGAACUCGGCAAAAUGACCCCGUAACUUCGGGAGAAGGGGUGCCUGCGAGAGCAGGCCGCAGAGAAUAGGCUCAAGCAACUGUUUAGCAAAAACACAGGUCUAUGCGAAACCGAAAGGUGAGGUAUAUGGGCUGACGCCUGCCCGGUGCUGGAAGGUUAAGAGGAGAUGUUAAUCGCAAGGUGAAGCAUUGAAUUUAAGCCCCAGUAAACGGCGGCCGUAACUAUAACGGUCCUAAGGUAGCGAAAUUCCUUGUCGGGUAAGUUCCGACCCGCACGAAAGGCGUAAUGAUUUGAGCACUGUCUCGACAAUGCAUCCGGUGAAAUUGAAGUACCAGUGAAGAUGCUGGUUACCUGCGCCAGGACGGAAAGACCCCAUGGAGCUUUACUCCAGCUUGAUACUGGGAUUCGAUACUGUAUGUACAGGAUAGGUGGGAGACGUUGAGCAUAGAACGCCAGUUUUAUGUGAGUCGCUGUUGGGAUACCACCCUUGCAGUAUUGGAUUUCUAACCUGCACCCAUGACCUGGGUGGGGGACAAUGUCUGGCGGGGAGUUUGACUGGGGCGGUCGCCUCCGAAAGGGUAUCGGAGGCGCUCAAAGGUUCCCUCAGAAUGGUUGGAAACCAUUCGAAGAGUGCAAAGGCAGAAGGGAGCUUGACUGCGACACCGACGGGUGGAGCAGGUACGAAAGUAGGACUUAGUGAUCCGGUGGUAUAAAGUGGGAUUGCCAUCGCUCAACGGAUAAAAGCUACCCUGGGGAUAACAGGCUUAUCACUCCCAAGAGUUCACAUCGACGGAGUGGUUUGGCACCUCGAUGUCGGCUCAUCGCAUCCUGGGGCUGUAGUAGGUCCCAAGGGUUGGGCUGUUCGCCCAUUAAAGCGGUACGCGAGCUGGGUUCAGAACGUCGUGAGACAGUUCGGUCCCUAUCCGGCGUGGGCGUAGGAUAUCUGAGAGGAGCUGUCCUUAGUACGAGAGGACCGGGAUGGACUGACCUCUGGUGCACCGGUUGCAUUGCCAAAUGCAUAGCCGGGUAGCCAAGUCGGGACGGGAUAAACGCUGAAGGCAUCUAAGCGUGAAGCCCCCCUCAAGAUGAGAUAUCCCUCAGAAAUGAGUAAGACCCCUUGA